UGAACAUUUUACCCACCACUCCGCCCACAAAACCAAAGGCCUGAUUGAUAUCGACAACAACCUAGUCUGGUAGGUUCAAUUAACAUUAUUUUAAGUUAAAUUAUAAUUGUGUCAUGAGUGAGGAGCACAGGGAGAUUUAGGCAUACUGUAGAUUCCAUGUAAGAAUUAUCAAGAAAAUAGUAGUGUUAUUCUGUCAGUGCAUCACUACUGUACUGUAUGUCAUCCAGGAAACAGAUCAUUAUAUGUUUGGACAGUAGUAACUAACAUAUAAUACAGUCAAAAGAAGUAUAACCACAACAACUGAAUUUAUCAGUCGGAUUACAUUGACCAGUCUCACAUCAUGUGUAGCCUCUUUAUGGACCUCUUAAUGAAACUCUUCUGAAAUACAGAACAGAGAGACAUACGUAUUUACACAGAAGUUGCCAUAUAGUCAGUAUAAACACUUGAUUAUCCAUCCAUAUACAACACAAAGUAGGUCCUACCUUUUCCCUCCUUGUAGACCUGAAUGAUGGCUAGAUUGACACUUGUUGCGUUCACUUGACUGAGUUUUAGUUUGAAUAUGGUGUGCUGUACACACAGCUGUAUAUGGCUGUGUCCUCUCAUUUUACAUCCUUGAUGGUGAAAAUGGUGUCAUCUUCACCUUUCUCCAGCUCUCUUACUCUCAUUCCACUUCCAUUCUUGCAAAGGUAAACAUAGACCUUGCUUAACGGUUUUCUGGUGCCUGUAGUGCUGCACUUCACAUUGUCACAUGCGUCGUUGAAGGGGGACCAAAACGUAGCGGGUAAAGUGCUCAUCUUCUUCAUUUUAUUAAAGAAAACACUUAAUCAAAAUAAACAAAUGACAAAAACGGUCCAGUAAGGUGCUCAGACUAUACUAGAAACAACCACCCAGAAACACAAGUGAAAACAAACACAACUAAAUAUGGCCUCCAAUUAGAGACAAGAACAACCAGCUGCCUCUAAUUGGAGGUCAUUGCCAAAACCCACAUAGAAAUAGAAAAGCUAGAUUAAACAUAGAAAUAGGAAAACUAGAAUCUAAACCCACAAUACCCAAACACACAAAACAAACACCCCCCUGCCACGCCCUGACCAACUAUAAUGACAAAUAACCCCUUUUACUGGUCAGGACGUGACACACAUCGACUGUCCUUCCUUCUCUCAUGUGAGUACUAGAUCCAUAGAGCUUUGCUGGGUAGAUAUUAGCUUCAUCAUUGAAGAGUCAAAAAUAAAAUUUAUGAAUAAAAAUGUAAGUCUCAGAAGUUCCAAUGUUUAGAAUGAAUUUGGCAUACACAACUUCUGCAUCUGGGCCUUGAUUUGCUGCAUCUGAAUUUCUUGGUAUAUGGCAUCGUCUGUUUUGGAGAUAAGAUGGAAGUUAAAUAUAUUUAAUUAAAACAAUUUUUGCAAAAGUUUUUCACCCAAGGGCCUAAAAUGUGUUAUAUAACCAUUUACCCAGCCUUUUAAAUUUCACAAUAUAAUCAAUGCAUUUGUUAGCAUUUCUCACCCAAGUUGUUUUACGUCUCAAUCUCAUCACCUGUUUUGAAGAUUAGAUGUUAAAACCAUUAAUUUAGACAAUAUUCUCUCAAGGCGUUGCAUAUUAGUUUAGUCAUAUCCAUUUACCCAGUAUCAGAAAUGUCAGAAUAACUUAAAAAAAA
rnacentral:lncRNA from 1 species